rnacentral:rRNA from 1 species
UACGUAGGGGGCGAGCGUUGUCCGGAAUUAUUGGGCGUAAAGAGCGUGUAGGCGGUCCGGUAAGUCCGCUGUGAAAGUCCAGGGCUCAACCCUGGAAUGCCGGUGGAUACUGCCGGGCUAGAGUCCGGAAGAGGCGAGUGGAAUUCCUGGUGUAGCGGUGAAAUGCGCAGAUAUCAGGAGGAACACCGAUGGCGAAGGCAGCUCGCUGGGACGGUACUGACGCUGAGACGCGAAAGCGUGGGGAGCGAACAGG